GCCUGAUGUAGUGGUUUAAGCAUUGGGCUACAACUCCAGAGAUCAGGGUUUGAUUCCCUGCUCAGCCA